rnacentral:rRNA from 1 species
UGGGGAAUAUUGGACAAUGGGCGCAAGCCUGAUCCAGCAAUGCCGCGUGUGUGAAGGAGGCCUUCGGGUUGUAAAGCACUUUUAUCAGGAGCGAAAUACUACCGAUUAAUACUCGGUGGGGCUGACGGUACCUGAGGAAUACGCACCGGCUAACUUCGUGCCAGCAGCCGCGGGAAUACGAAGGGUGCAAGCGUUAAUCGGAAUUACUGGGCGUAAAGGGUGAGUAGGCGGUUAUUUAAGUCUGCCGUGAAAUCCCCGGGCUCAACCUGGGAAUGGCGGUGGAUACUGGAUAGCUAGAGUGUGUCAGAGGAUGGUGGAAUCCCCGGUGUAGCGGUGAAAUGCGUAGAGAUCGGGAGGAACAUCAGUGGCGAAGGCGGCCAUCUGGGACAACACUGACGCUGAAGCACGAAAGCGUGGGGAGCAAACA